GACGAACGCUGGCGGCGUGCCUAAUACAUGCAAGUUGAGCGCUGAAGGUUGGUACUUGUACCAACUGGAUGAGCAGCGAACGGGUGAGUAACGCGUGGGGAAUCUGCCUUUGAGCGGGGGACAACAUUUGGAAACGAAUGCUAAUACCGCAUAAAAACUUUAAACACAAGUUUUAAGUUUGAAAGAUGCAAUUGCAUCACUCAAAGAUGAUCCCGCGUUGUAUUAGCUAGUUGGUGAGGUAAAGGCUCACCAAGGCGAUGAUACAUAGCCGACCUGAGAGGGUGGUCGGCCACAUUGGGACUGAGACACGGCCCAAACUCCUACGGGAGGCAGCAGUAGGGAAUCUUCGGCAAUAGACGAAAGUCUGACCGAGCAACGCCGCGUGAGUGAAGAAGGUUUUCGGAUCGUAAAACUCUGUUGGUAGAGAAGAACGUUGGUGAGAGUGGAAAGCUCAUCAAGUGACGGUAACUACCCAGAAAGGGACGGCUAACUACGUG
rnacentral:rRNA from 1 species